rnacentral:rRNA from 1 species
AUGCAGUACUGGUCCAUCGAGGGGGCGCAGGAGGUGUUCGGCGACAAGGUGUGCGUCGACCGGCUCGACAGCCGCACGCUGGAGCGUGGCCACACCAAAAACUUCGCCUGCUGGGUCUGGGUGUGGGACAUGUCGUUCAUCCCCACCAGGCACACCUACUAGAUGCUCCCGCGGGGCGCCGGGCGAGUGGAGGAGAUGGAGGGGUUCUCGCCGCUGGACCGCAGGGUGGCACCUCCUCCGGGCGCGACGCGGUACGACCUCCUCAUCCGUGUGGACCGCAUCGAAGACUGGGCUUCACGCUCCCCACGCUCCUCCCACUCCGCGCAGAGCGGCUUGCCAUCCUCCGGCUCUGAUGACGAUGACGCGCUGCCUCGCACCCACCCUGGCACCUGGACCAUGCAUGUGGAGGAUGGCCAGCGUGAGGAGCCGCACAGGCGACAGGCCCGCACUCCGGUGGUGGACACGGGCUGCCGGGGCAUGCCCCUUGGCGGCUCCAGGCGCGACCCCGACAACGGCGGUGCUGGCAGAAGAUCAUGGAAGGAUACGCUGCUGGGACGCGGGCGCGGCCACCAAGCUCAGGCAGAGGUCACGUCCAGGGAGCGCCGCGUCCGCAGCCGCUCUCCACCGACGCGUCACCGCUCCGGCGGCUCCAAGGGGUAG